rnacentral:rRNA from 1 species
UGAGCUUGAUCCUGGCUCAGGACGAACGCUGGCGGCGUGCCUAAUACAUGCAAGUCGAGCGCAGGAAGCCGGCCGAWCCCUUCGGGGUGACGCCGGUGGAAUGAGCGGCGGACGGGUGAGUAACACGUGGGCAACCUACCUUGUAGACUGGGAUAACUCCGGGAAACCGGGGCUAAUACCGGAUGAUCAUUUGGAUCGCAUGAUUCGRAUGUAAAAGUGGGGAUUUAUCCUCACACUGCAAGAUGGGCCCGCGGCGCAUUAGCUAGUUGGUAAGGUAAUGGCUUACCAAGGCGACGAUGCGUAGCCGACCUGAGAGGGUGAUCGGCCACACUGGAACUGAGACACGGUCCAGACUCCUACGGGAGGCAGCAGUAGGGAAUCAUCCGCAAUGGGCGAAAGCCUGACGGUGCAACGCCGCGUGAACGAUGAAGGUUUUCGGAUCGUAAAGUUCUGUUAUGAGGGAAGAACACGUGCCGUUCGAAUAGGGCGGCACCUUGACGGUACCUCACGAGAAG